AAACAUAACAGUUGUCCAUGUUUGAAAUACAUACCCGAUUAAUAGCAGCUUUUUAUGGUAUUCAAUAAAAUCACAUCGAAAAAACAUCGAUCGUCUCCCUCUCUUCCCUUCCGCGCCUCUUCGUUUACAGGAUGAAGCAACGACCAAUGUUGCUUCCUCAAAGAUUUGAAGCAGAUACAUCGAAGAUAGGUGGGUUAAGCUGAACCGCUGGUCUCCAUACCACCGUCUCCAUCAUCUCCAACGAAAACCCUAAAUCUUACAAUCCUAAAUCAACAAUCACCACCGGCUCGAUACCGUAACCACCACUACACCCUAGCACACCAUGUAACCCCUUAACCAUCUCACCAUCUGUUUCUAUCUGAUAUGUCCAGAUACCCUAAUGGCAGCAGGAAGCGGCAUAUUGGGUAUAUGUAAAUGUUAACAGUGUGAUACUACAUUGCUAUGUUGCUGAUAGUGUCAUCUUACCUCUCUAUGUUGCUGGUAAGAUGGCAUUUUGUGGCAUGUUGUUUCUAGAAUCAGGAGGUGAGGAAAGAUUGAAACUUUGUUGCCGCUAGAAAUAAAGGAUGAAUGAUAGUGCUCAAAACAGAACCUUUGGUCUGUUAUCAAGUUCAGGAAAUCAUCAUUGCUAAGUAGUGUUUGACGUAGUGGAUUCAAAUGCGCCUACAGAGCAUAUUUUUGGUUUAGACAAUCAAAGUCUUAAGCAUGUGGUGUUGGUUUUAAAAGUGUGAUUAAGGUUUAAUUUUUUAUUAUUAAAUUUUCUUAUUGUUAGAAUUUUAUUUAUUAGGUAUUAUAGAGUUCUAUAUGAAAAAAAAGUUUGUGGUGGGAUCAUAAGUGAAUGCUUUUUUAGCAACCGAAGAGAUUAGUGAAUUGGGAUCUUGCAAUGUUUAAAAUAACUAGGAAUAUACCAACUAUGAAUAUGGUUUUAUUUAGGUCUGAGGACCAAGUAUUCUUUGUGUUCUUUAAAAA